UACGUAGGGGGCUAGCGUUGUCCGGAAUCAUUGGGCGUAAAGCGCGUGUAGGCGGCUGGUAAGUCCGCUGUGAAAGUCGGGGCUCAACCCUCGGAUGCCGGUGGAUACUGUCGGGCUGAGUCGGGAAGAGGCGAGUGGAAUCCUGGUGUAGCGGUGAAAUGCGCAGAUAUCAGGAGGAACACCAAUUGCGAAGGCAGCUCGCUGGGACGUUACUGACGCUGAGACGCGAAAGCGUGGGGAGCAAACAGG
rnacentral:rRNA from 1 species